rnacentral:rRNA from 1 species
ACUAAACCUAGCCUACUCACACAUACAAUACAAAUAUUAUAAAUAUUAAAAUAAAACAUUUACAUAAUUUAAAGUAUAGGAGAUAGAAAUUUAUCUUAGCGCUAUAGAGAUAGUACCGUAAGGGAAAGAUGAAAGAAGAACAAAAGUACAAAAAAGCAUAGAUUACACCUAGUACCUUUUGCAUAAUGAGUUAACUAGAAAAUCUUUGACAAAAAGAAUUUAAGUCAAAUCCCCCGAAACCAAGCGAGCUACUUUUAAACAGCUAAUAAUGAGCAAACUCAUCUAUGUGGCAAAAUAGUGAGAAGAUUUAAAAGUAGAGGUGAAAGGCCUAUCGAGCUUGGAGAUAGCUGGUUAUCCAAACAAGAAUUUAAGUUCUACUUUAAGCAUUUCCUAAAACCUAUUAAAAUUUUAAUGAAAGCUUACAUGUUAACUUAAGGAGGGACAGCUCCUUAAAUAAGGAUACAUCCUUAAACAGAGGGUAAAAUAUAUAAAUAUCAUAGUAGGCCUAAAAGCAGCCAUCAAUUAAGAAAGCGUUCAAGCUCAACAACUUCUCUUCAAUUUUAUCCCAAAAAUCACAAUAAUCCCCUGACAAGACAAUUGGAUUAAUCUAUAAACAUAUAGAAGAAAUAAUGUUAAUAUCAGUAAUAAGAAAUAUUUCUCCUUGCACAAGUUUAAAUUAAAUUACAACAGUUAACAAUCUUAUAUAAAAUACACCUACCAGCCCAUUAUUACAAACAUUGUUAACCCAACUCAGGAGUGCAACAAGGAAAGACUAAAAUAAGUAAAAGGAACUCGGCAAACACAAACCCCGCCUGUUUACCAAAAACAUCACCUCUAGCAUUCUAAGUAUUAGAGGCACUGCCUGCCCAGUGACAUUAUAAGUUCAACGGCCGCGGUAUCCUGACCGUGCAAAGGUAGCAUAAUCACUUGUUCUUUAAAUAAGGACUAGUAUGAAUGGCUUAACGAGGGUUUGACUGUCUCUUACUUACAGUCAAUGAAAUUGACAUUCCCGUGAAGAGGCGGGGAUAAGACAAUAAGACGAGAAGACCCUAUGGAGCUUUAAUUUAUUAAUUCAAUUUUAAAAACUAAAUCAACAAGAAAUAAAAAACAAACUAUGAAUUAAAAAUUUUGGUUGGGGUGACCUCGGAGUAAAACAAAACCUCCGAAUGAUAUUAACCUAGGCCUACAGGCCAAAGUUACUAUUAUAAAUUGACCCAGAAAAUUCUGAUCAACGAACCAAGUUACCCUAGGGAUAACAGCGCAAUCCUAUUAUAGAGUCCAUAUCGACAAUAGGGUUUACGACCUCGAUGUUGGAUCAGGACACCCAAAUGGUGCAACCGCUAUUAAAGGUUCGUUUGUUCAACGAUUAAAGUCCUACGUGAUCUGAGUUCAGACCGGAGCAAUCCAGGUCGGUUUCUAUCUAUUAAAAAUUUCUCCCAGUACGAAAGGACAAGAGAAAUAAGGCCAAUUAAUUAAUUAUGCCUUAAUAGCAAAAAAAUGAUAUAAUAUCAACUUCAUAGCUAUUACCAAUUAACAACUCAAGAUGGAGAGUU